AGGAUGUAAGCUGAUCUACCAUCAUUCUGGCUGCUGGGCAGGGAAAGUGAGCGAGGCGUUCGCCACCCACCUCCAGAUUGCAAGCUCCAGGAAGGCUGAGUUUGUGCUGCAUUUUAUUCACCGUUGUAUCCCCAGCACCCAGUACAGUGCUUGUCAGUUGCAGGGACUGGUGUUCCAGCAGCCACUUUGGACCAUGAAGUGACCUUGGGAAUGAAAGUCAAUGAUGGUGGAGCAAAAAUACUGAAGCCUUGGGCUUCCCUGGUG